ensembl:lncRNA
CGCGCGCGCGCGCGCCUGAGUCACCCCCGCCCGCUCCCCCGCGCGGCGAGGAGCGCGGCCGCCGGCUCGCGAGGCUCCGCAUCCGCUCGAGCAUCUCCGGCUCCCGGGCGUCUGGAAGCCGGCGGGGCGCAGAAUGUUCCAGGAACGUCGGGACGCGUCCACCGAUGGCGGACUUUUGGGCGGAGGCGCCGCGCCCCCUGGCGGCCCCCGCGGGGAUUGCAGGCGGGAGCUGGACCAGGAGUCCAUCCCUCCGCACGCCCGUUUUCUCCAGGAGGAAACUGAGGCCGGGAGCGGAACUGGGUGGGGGCCUUGCAGCGUGGAUUGCAAGGUACGCUCGUUCGGCUUCCGCUUGGACACUUCCCUGAAUGGAGAACUCACUACCUAGCGGAAAACUAGGCACGAUUUGUUGUUAUUCGUAAUAUUUCUCUAGUCGUUCUACAGAUGUUUACCAAGGGUCUGCUGUGUGCCAGGCACUGUGUUAGGUGAUGGGGACACAGCAGUGGACAGACAGACAGAUCCCUGCCCUCCUGGGACUGACGUUCUCAUGGGGGAGACAGACAGUCAAUGAUGAGAUGAUUUCCGUGUGUGAUAAGCGCUGUAAGGAAAGGAAACCGGGAUGAUAAAUUAUCACAAAGGGGAGACUUUGGUAAAAGUAGGCAGGGAAGGCCUUUGUCGGAGGAGGUGACACUUAACUGCAACCCGAGUGAUGAGAAAGGGCAUCUCAAACGACUUUCUGGUUUAAUUCAAUCCCUCGUCCCAUUUCAUAGAUCUGGAGAGGAAGCAGCGGGGGCCUGAGCUGGCAGAGCGUAGAUUGCAAGAGCUUUCACAGCGGGAUGCUUCAGCUUCGAGUUGGUUCCUGUGCUUGGGAGCUCGUUACCUCCUGGCAUGUAGAUACCAUUCAUCAUCAGCAGUAGUAAUAUCGAUUACUAUUUAAAAAAUAAUCGCUGCUAUUUAUCCAGCACGUGCUCUUUGCCCAGCGGUCUGCUAAAUGUCUUACCUGCAUUAUUUCACUGAAUCUUCACCCUGGACCUAAGAAUGUGAAUGUUACCCUCAGGGCACAUCUCAUUUUGGACCAGCCACAUUUUAAGCUCUCAAGAUCCACACGCGGACAAGUGGCUGCCACAUCCGACCGUGCAGAAAUGGAUGAUGGCGCCAUCGGAGAUCUGGAGGGUGGCUUCCUCAAAGUCCAGAUUUAACAGGUGACAGUGUGCCUCCAGGAGACAGCGUGGCUACGGUCAAGACCCUGGAGUCUGCAGCCAGACUGCGGGGUUCAGAUACUAGUUCUGGAACUUGCAAGUUGCAGCUCCAACUUGAAAGGGGGAACCACCCACAAGGCCUCAGAGGGAUGUUGUGAAGAUUAAACGAAGGAAUAAGCACGGAACACUGAGAACAGGGCCUGGCACCUAUUAAAGGCAGUAUGAGGGCUGACUUUUAUUACUGAUUGGAGAUUCAGGAAAGAGAAAAUCUCUCGGGUCCACAUGAAAAGUUGAAGAAUGAACACUCCUUGCAAAACGUCCCAUCCUCAAAGUGGAGGAUGCCCAGGCCGUGGGGGCGCACACAACUUGUCACACACGUGUGGGAUGCACGGGCCACUCCGGGUCCCCCAGGGCGAGCGUGCCCGCCGUCCCUGCUGGAACGGGCCUGCGCCAUCCCAAAGCUUUGGCCGCCUCCCGGUGUCAACACUGCUGCCUGUUCUCCGGUCCUCACUUUUCUGUUCUGAUCUGUGCAGUGACUUGAAUGGCGUGCGCCGCCCCCCCCCCCCCCCCCCCCCCCGCCCCGUCCCAGAUGGGUCCACCUGAGACCUGUGCACGGGAGCUUCUUUGAAAAAAGGGUCUUUGCGGAUUCUAUUCAGGUGAGGAUCUCAGAUGAGCUCCUCCUGGAUUAUCGGGACAGGCCCUGAACCUGACAGCAAGCAUCCUUAGAUGAGAAAGGCAGAGGGUGACAAGACACAGAUCAGAAGAGACGCCACGUGAAGAUGGAGGCAGAGACAGCGUGAGGCAGCCACAAGCUAAGGGCGCCUGAGGCCGCCAGAGGCUGGAGGAGAAGAGCAGGAUCCUCCCCAGAACCUUUGGAGGGAGGGUGGCUCCGCUGACACUUUGAUUUAGGACUUCCAGCCUCCAGAGAAUAAAUUUCUUUUGUUUUAAGCUACCAAGUUGGUAGUAAUUUGUUACAGCAG